rnacentral:lncRNA from 1 species
UCCUUCUUUUACUCUGUUCUUCCACCGCCGACUUCAACCACCGCAACCACCACUGCCCCCACCCCCACCGCCCAAGCCACAACCCCCUCUGGUGAACAACCACCACUGCCCCCACCUCCACCGCACAAACGCAACCCCCACCGUGACCUCCACAACCAUCAUCAUCGGAGCAAGAGAAGAAAGGGGAUGCAGAGGAUGGGUUUUCAUCAAUUUUUCUGCAAAGUUUUCUUCUUUUUGCGAUUUUGUGGUGUGGGUGUUGAACAAGCUGGUUAAUUCAUGUUGGGUUGGGUUUGAUUUUAAAAAAGUUUGCAACUUUUUAGGUUUCAUUUCCUCUCCAGAUCUCCUCCAAGCUUGCAACUUUCUGGGUUUGAUUUAAAAA